AUUGAACGCUGGCGGCAGGCCUAACACAUGCAAGUCGAGCGGAUGAAGGGAGCUUGCUCCUGGAUUCAGCGGCGGACGGGUGAGUAAUGCCUAGGAAUCUGCCUGGUAGUGGGGGAUAACGUCCGGAAACGGGCGCUAAUACCGCAUACGUCCUGAGGGAGAAAGUGGGGGAUCUUCGGACCUCACGCUAUCAGAUGAGCCUAGGUCGGAUUAGCUAGUUGGUGGGGUAAAGGCCUACCAAGGCGACGAUCCGUAACUGGUCUGAGAGGAUGAUCAGUCACACUGGAACUGAGACACGGUCCAGACUCCUACGGGAGGCAGCAGUGGGGAAUAUUGGACAAUGGGCGAAAGCCUGCUCCAGCCCUGCCGCGUGUGUGAAGAAGGUCUUCGGAUUGUAAAGCACUUUAAGUUGGGAGGAAGGGCAGUAAGUUAAUACCUUGCUGUUUUGACGUUACCAACAGAAUAAGCACCGGCUAACUUCGUG
rnacentral:rRNA from 1 species